UACGGAGGGUGCAAGCGUUAUCCGGAUUCACUGGGUUUAAAGGGUGCGUAGGUGGGCUGGUAAGUCAGUGGUGAAAUCUCCAGGCUUAACUUGGAAACUGCCAUUGAUACUAUUAGUCUUGAAUACCGUGGAGGUCAGCGGAAUAUGUCAUGUAGCGGUGAAAUGCUUAGAUAUGACAUAGAACACCAAUUGCGAAGGCAGCUGGCUUCACGAAUAUUGACACUGAUGCACGAAAGCGUGGGGAUCAAACAGG
rnacentral:rRNA from 1 species